rnacentral:rRNA from 2 species
UGUACAACUCUGAGCGGUGGAUCACUCGGCUCGUGUGUCGAUGAAGAGCGCAGCCAACUGUGUGAAUUAAUGUGAACUGCAUACUGCUUUGAACAUCGACAUCUUGAACGCAUAUUGCGGCCAUGGGUUAGCCUGUGGCCACGCCUGUCCGAGGGUCGGCU